AUUGAACGCUGGCGGCAUGCCUUACACAUGCAAGUCGAACGGCAGCAUGAUCUAGCUUGCUAGAUUGAUGGCGAGUGGCGAACGGGUGAGUAAUACAUCGGAACGUGCCCUGUAGUGGGGAUAACUAGUCGAAAGAUUAGCUAAUACCGCAUACGACCUGAGGGUGAAAGUGGGGGACCGCAAGGCCUCAUGCUAUAGGAGCGGCCGAUGUCUGAUUAGCUAGUUGGUGAGGUAAAGGCUCACCAAGGCGACGAUCAGUAGCUGGUCUGAGAGGACGAUCAGCCACACUGGGACUGAGACACGGCCCAGACUCCUACGGGAGGCAGCAGUGGGGAAUUUUGGACAAUGGGGGCAACCCUGAUCCAGCAAUGCCGCGUGUGUGAAGAAGGCCUUCGGGUUGUAAAGCACCUUUGUCCGGAAAGAAAUCGCACUUACUAAUAUUAGGUGUGGAUGACGGUACCGGAAGAAUAAGGACCGGCUAACUACGUGCCAGCCGCCGCGGUAACAC
rnacentral:rRNA from 1 species